UCUUUUCCGGCAGGCAUCUCUCCCUCCACUCUUCUUCUCCUUCCUCCGCUCACCGCCGCUUGUUGUGUCGUCCCUUCCUCCGGCCUCCGGCCGUGAGACAGGGAUCGACAAAUUAAUUCUUUGUUCGUGUUAUUCCUUUUGAACUGCAGUACUAUCUCGUUUUUGGUCCUUGCUCUUCCUUCUAUUUUUGGUUUCGAUGUCUCCUCCUUGUGGUGGUGGUUGGUCCCUUAGCAUCUAUUCUUACAUUGCUCCCCGCUCCCCUCAGUCACUCUCACAAGCGUCUUCUUCUUGCUUGUCCUCUUUGGAUUCUCCUUCCAAAGUGACUUUUGAAGGUGUUUCUCCGCUGAUGAGUGAAAGCGAUUUCAGUCUCUCCUCCGUGGCGAUUUUAGAUCCACCCAACGCCUUCACGUUUGAGUCUUUGUCAGGCUGCUCGUGGGGGUUGGUCUGUUCCGACGGCUUUGUCGACGUGUAUCCGACAUCCUUGCCUCCAUUCCCAGCCGCUCGUGUUGGAUCUCGUCAGAAUUUUUCUCUGACUUGUCUCUCGGAGAUCUCUGCAACCAUCUGCUAUGUCUCAAGCAAACGACCCCCGAAAGUAGUUGCAAGCCACCAGUGUUUUUCACCUCCGCUUCCCCUGCAAGUCUCACCGUCUUCAUUUGCGUCCUCGUUCUUACUGAGAACUCUUUGGGGUAGUUGGGUUUGGUUCAACCUUUCGUGUCCUCUAGUGACACGUAUAUGGCCCUCCCACGGGCCUUUCCUGUAGUAUGCAGCUUAUGGUCUGGUUUCGUCAUGGCUUCCGUUUGUACAAGGUUCAAGACUUAUGCUCUCCGUAGAUGGCAGUAUCGACUUUCACUGCCUCCUUUCUCCUUCAUUAUGACGUCUAAAGAAGGCAUUAUGGCAGCCAAUCUUUGAAGACUUUUAUCCCUGCCUUUGGUGUAACUUUGAAUGGUUCACCUUUUGUCUCGGAUCGGCUUAGUGGUGAAUCUAUUGUUCCUUGUAUUGAGGAUUUUGUUAGCUUAGUUCUAACUUGUUUGGUGGCUAAGGUAUUAGCCCCGAACACUAGUUUUGGUUUCCGUUUUGUUGAAGACAGGUUGUGUGAAGGUUUAGGCUUCACAAAAGAGGACUUGUGUGACAAAAAAUCUCAACCAAUCAAGGAUAUGAUUAAGCGAUCAGCGAGGUUUUAGCAUUGGGUGUAUCAAGGCUGGCCUCUUUUGCGGAUUGUCAAGAACUUCUGUUUCUUUUCAAUGUCGUUGGCCAUGCAUACGAGCUCGACGAUAUAUUAGCAUAUAUCCAAGAGUGUAGUACCAACUUUUUCUAUGUGUUGUUUCUUUUUGUAUCUUUUGUAAAAGACCUUGAGACAAAGUCUUUGGCAAAGGCUGCACUAUUCUCUUGUACCUUCUCAUUCAUUAAUGGAGUAUGAGCUAUCUAAAUAUAA